UCUACGGGAGGCAGCAGUAAGGAAUAUUGGUCAAUGGAGGCAACUCUGAACCAGCCAUGCCGCGUGCAGGAUGACUGCCCUAUGGGUUGUAAACUGCUUUUGUCAGGGAAUAAACCUUUCCACGUGUGGAAAGCUGAAUGUACCUGAAGAAUAAGGAUCGGCUAACUCCGUGCCAGCAGCCGCGGUAAUA
rnacentral:rRNA from 1 species